UAUGUAUGUUAUCUACGUAUUAUCCUGGUUCCCGGUACUACGUUCCGGGUAUUAGCUAUUUGAUAUAUUUGAUGUGUAACAUUACAAUCGGGUACCAGCCAAUCUACGUGUGUAUGUGUACAUGAUUUACCGCCAAAAUGACCGACUUAAAAAAUAGUCCAUAAACGUUCCGUAUAAUGAUAUGCAAAUUCAUAAUUAAUCGUAACUUUUUUUAUCUUUGUAUAAUUAAUAUAACAAAAUGGAUUCCACAAAAUUGAAAAUAGCAUUAUUUUACGAGGAUUUCUCAUAUUUUUUUCACUUCCGGCGCAGUAAUACGUAUGUUUUGAAGAAGCUCAAAGAAUUUGACAAAGUGAAUUGAGAAGGAAACGGAUAGAUAUACGUUCUUGCUAUCAGGGCACAACCCCACUUUAAAGAGACUUGUCUACUGCCAUACCCAUCCUAUUUUCAUGCACCAUUUGCAAGCAAGAGACUGAAUGGUUUGCAAAAUUAAAAAUCAGGACGGUGUCCAAUUAAAACGAAAGAACUAAACUGGAUGAAUAUUGUAGGAGAAAUCUAGACAUGCUAGAGGAAAGUUUUGAUUUGUGAAAUUGGUUUUCCUGAAAAGUCAUUCAUCCUAGCCUGCAGAAAGGAACUAUAACUGUCCACCACCAACUGACGAGCUAAUGUUGAGCUUCACAUAUGGAAUUACUCAAAUACCAUCAAUGUCUAUGUUUUCAGCACAAAUUUCACAAUUUAUGACACAGCUGUGCUUUUUUUUAUACCGUUAAAGAGUUGUAUACCAAAUUUUAUUUUUUUAUCAAUAAAUAUAUAUUAUAUUAA